CCUACGGGACGCACCAGUAGGGAAUCUUCGGCAAUGGACGAAAGUCUGACCGAGCAACGCCGCGUGAGUGAAGAAGGUUUUCGGAUCGUAAAACUCUGUUGUUAGAGAAGAACAAGUAGGAGAGUAACUGCUCUUACCUUGACGGUAUCUAACCAGAAAGCCACGGCUAACUACGUGCCAGCAGCCGCGGUAAUACGUAGGUGGCAAGCGUUGUCCGGAUUUAUUGGGCGUAAAGCGAGCGCAGGCGGUCUUUUAAGUCUGAUGUGAAAGCCCUCGGCUCAGCCGAGGAAGGUCAUUUAAAACUGGAGGACUUGAGUGCAGAAGAGGAGAGUGGGAUUCCAUGUGUAGCGGUGAAAUGCGUAGAUAUAUGGAGGAACACCAGUGGCGAAGGCGACUCUCUGGUCUGUAACUGACGCUGAGGCUCGAAAGCGUGGGGAAUAAACAGGAUUAGAUACCCCCGUAGUC
rnacentral:rRNA from 1 species